ensembl:lncRNA
AACCAGAUGGGUUUUUCACGAAGAUGGUUAUAAUUGACUCAAUCCAGCAACUCUUAGCACAUUUUACUCUUUUUCUUUUCUUUUCUUUUUUUUUUUUUUUUUCAGUAGGCGGCAUACUGAAACACACUGAUGCUUUUUUCUUUAAACAGGUGUUAAUAUUUCUGGAAUGAAAACCUUAUCUUUAAGGACCCAUGACCAGGAAAUGAAGAUGAGUUGUUCUUGUGACAAAGAAAGAGAUAAAUCUGUGCUUCUGGAAAACAUCUUUCACUAGCUUUAUUGUAACAAGGUGUGAUUGUUGCUUGGAGUUCUCAGGGUUAUCCCAGCACACAACAGCCUGCAUUCUCAGCUAACUCCAUAUCAUAGAAAAUCUGUUCCCAUGAGCUCAGCAAAUGUUUGCAUGGUGGACUGGCAUAGACUAUAAGCCAAGAGCAAUAUGGGGAAGGGAGCAGCACUGAGCCAUGAAGAAAUGCAAAGUACUCUGUGUAUGAGAGCCAACACAGCUGCUGGAACCAUAAGAUGUAAAUGUAACGAGCGAGGAGCAGCCCUAGAAUACACCCAGAGGAGCUUUCAGAUCGGAUUUGACCCCGCAGAGUGCCGGACCACGCGUUGCUGCAUUACUGUGUCUCCCAGCUGGAGAUGCCUGCUGCUUAUCUCCAGGUAGGAACAUGUCUGCAGGGUGGUGUCCUGAUGGAUCUGCUCCUGUUUGCCCGGGGUGACCAGACGUGACCAGAGCACCGUGUAGCUCAGCCCCCAGCUGGGUGAGCUGUAGGUGCAUUUCAGGUGGGCGCGACCUCCUACAAGCUCGGAAGUUAUCACUGGCUGUAAAGUCAGGCUCGGGAGUUUUUCUGAAAGGCAAAGCAGAAGAAUUCAGUAGAAAACACUUUUAACAUUAGAAUCGCUUGCUCAACAGGAAGAUUUCAAUAUAGCUAAAUGUGAGAGAAAUGCCACAUUCAUAUUCUUGUGAUUUGAUAAUUAACUAUGUAAACAAGACACUGUAUUUCAUAUGAAGUUCAAAGAGUAGCUAUUUUGCUACUGAUUGCCCAUUGCUAUAAUGUUGUAUCUGAGAUAUUGUUUUUUUUAUUUUGCAUUCAGAACAACAUUAUUGAAAUGAAGCACACAGGUUAAUACAAAUUAAUUACUUCAGCAAAGGCUGCCAGCUUUGCAUUCCCAGAAGCAGAACCUUCUGACCUGAGUUUUUCAGUGAGUUACAGAAGAGAUAUGAGAACAAACAAUGUUGCAGGAGUGAACUCAAAUAGCAUCCAACUCGUAUCACUGCACAGUGAGGAUCCUUUCCAGGCUGUGCUGGGACAUUCCUAGGAUGAGCUUGCUCAGUAUAGUCUCACUCUGCCCAGAAUAAUUCUACUGCUCUAAAAAUACAGCCUAUUUCUAUAGGCUUCGACAAAGGAUGAACUCUGAUAGUUUUCUUCCUCUUAAGGAGAAACAAAAAGAUAUUUAAUACUGUAGGGUGAUGUUCUCUCAUCUCCAAGACUUGGACUGAAAGGGAACAAGAAGCUGGUGCAGGGGCUUUGAAAAGGUAUUUUAAGAAACUUUUUUUGAAGGAGUAUAGAGAAUAUUAUGGAAGCACAAGGCAGUAAGGCAUGAGGCAGAAUGGAGAACUGAUAUAUUAACACUUGUCCAGUGCUCAGUUGAUUUCAGACAGU